GACGGAGGAUGCAAGUGUUAUCCGGAAUCACUGGGCGUAAAGCGUCUGUAGGUGGUUUAAAAAGUCUGCUGUUAAAAAUUGAAGCUUAACUUCAAAGGUGCCGUAGAAACUUUUAAACUUGAGGAUGGUAGGGGUAGAGGGAAUUUCCAGUGGAGCGGUGAAAUGCGUUGAUAUCGGAAGGAACGCCAGAGGCGAAAGCGCCACACUGGGUCUCAACUGACGCUGAGGCACGAAAGCCAGGGGAGCAAACGGG
rnacentral:rRNA from 1 species